rnacentral:rRNA from 1 species
CCUACGGGGGGCAGCAGUGGGGAAUAUUGCACAAUGGGGGAAACCCUGAUGCAGCAACGCCGCGUGAGUGAAGAAGGUUUUCGGAUUGUAAACCUCUUUUGUCGGAGAACAAAACCCGGGACGUGUCCCGGACUGCGUGUAUCCGAAGAAAAAGCAUCGGCUAACUCCGUGCCAGCAGCCGCGGUAAUACGGAGGAUGCGAGCGUUAUCCGGAUUUAUUGGGUUUAAAGGGUGCGUAGGCGGUCCGUUAAGUCAGCGGUAAAAUUGCGGGGCUCAACCCCGUCGAGCCGUUGAAACUGGCAGACU